ensembl:lncRNA
AGCCAGGGCAGAGUUGAUGCUGCUUCAGGGGGCGACUGAGAGGGGGUGUGGGCUGCAAGCUGACCACUGCAGUAGCCUGGGCUGACAUGCAACUGUCCUCAGAUCCCUCCUCACUGACACAGGCACACAUCAUGCCACUGAGUACCCACUGAGUGUCAGGCACAACCCAGUCAGUCAGGCAGGUACACCAGUCAGUCAGGCAGGCAGGUACACCAGUCAGUCAGUCAGGCAGGUACACCAGUCAGUCAGGCAGGUACACCAGUCAGUCAGUCAGGCAGGUACACCAGUCAGUCAGUUGAGGAGAAACAGGAAUAAACACCUAUCCAAGUAAUGCUGGUUCAUGGUCCAAGUGUGGGGAUGUUUCAUUUGUUUAAGAUGGCUGCUCAAUAAAAAGUAGGUUUAAAUUAUUUUAGCACACGAAAGACAAACACUAAAAUCAGGCAAAUUAAAAGGUUACCAGUAGAUACACAAAUAAAAGGGACAUAUAGUCAAAUCUAGUUUACAAAAGCUAUGUUUGCUGUCCUUUUGAAAUGGUAGAAACCUGAGAAAAAGUUCCAAUCACAAGAACCCGGACUAACACCCUCCCAGCGGUGAAAAGUACUUAUGUAAAAAUACUUUAAAGUACUGCUUAAGCAGGUUUUUUUUUUAGUAUCUUUACUUUACUAUUUAGAUUUUGGGCAACUUUUAAUUUUACUUCAAUACAUUCCUAAAGAAAGUAAUGUACUUUUUACACCAUACAUUUUCUAUGACACCCAAAAGUACUCGUUAUAUUUGGAAUGCUUAGCAGGACAGGAAAUGGUCUAAUUCACACACAGUAUAAAGAGAACAUACCUGGUCA